UACGGAGGGGGCUAGCGUUGUUCGGAAUUACUGGGCGUAAAGCGCACGUAGGCGGCUUUGUAAGUUAGAGGUGAAAGCCCGGGGCUCAACUCCGGAAUUGCCUUUAAGACUGCAUCGCUCGAAUUGUGGAGAGGUAAGUGGAAUUCCGAGUGUAGAGGUGAAAUUCGUAGAUAUUCGGAAGAACACCAGUGGCGAAGGCGACUUACUGGACACAUAUUGACGCUGAGGUGCGAAAGCGUGGGGGAGCAAACAGGGAUUAGAAACCCCCUGU
rnacentral:rRNA from 1 species